GACGAACGCUGGCGGCGUGCUUAACACAUGCAAGUCGAACGAAGUGGCGAACGGGUGAGUAACGCGUAAUCAACCUGCCCUUCAGAGGGGGACAACAGUUGGCAACGACUGCUAAUACCGCAUACUUAAGGAGGUGAUUGCGUCUGCUUAGCUAGUUGGGUGGGUAACGGCCCACCAAGGCGAUGAUCAGUAGCCGGUCUGGGAGGAAGGACGGGCACAUUGGGACCGGGAAACGGGCCAGGCUCCUAAGGGGGGCAGCAGUGGGGAAUCUUCCGAAAUGGACGGAAGUCUGACGGAGCAAAGCCGCGGGAGUGAUGACGGCCUUCGGGUUGUAAAGCUCUGUUAAUCGGGACGCGGUACCGGAAUAGAAAGCCACGGCUAACUACGUGCCAGCAGCCGCGGUAAUUC
rnacentral:rRNA from 1 species